UCUGGCUAAACUUUUGGUAUAAGGUUUUUGUUGAAGCAUGUUAAAGUUUAUUAUUCAGCAAGUAGAAAGAAUGUUUUGAGAGGAUUUUGUUUUUGUUUACACUGUGACUAAAAUACGUUUUAUUUAAUGUUUUCCUUCACAACUUUUAAUUAGCUUCUACUUUGUGGUAACUGCUGUCAUAACACCAAAUUGACCCCAAAAGCUUUUUUUUGUAACAUAAUUUAAAGUGUUUUUAUUGGCAUAGUCUGUAACAUUUAAGAUAAGAUCUCAUAAUAGUCAGUGCUAUUAUAAGAAACUCAGUUUAUAUACAUUUCUUUCAUGUAGUCAGAUAUAAUAGGGUUAAUUCCUCCUAUGCCAAAUCAGGGUUAAGGACAGACUUGCAGAAAAGCAGGAAGAAGCUUAUUGGUUAAUGGAAUGAACUUCACCUCUUAAACACUGAAAACAAACUAUUAGUUGCUUCACAUCAUGACCUAAAAUGCCUUGUAGCUUCUCACAUGCUUUUUGUUCAAGUAUAUUAAGCCCGCCCCCAACCCAACAUCUGUAUUUGGACAUUAAUUGGGAUAACUGACUGAGGAAGCACGAGGAUAGAAUGACAGACUACCUGAGAGAAAUGCAUUAUCAGUUUUUUGUUUUGUUUUGCAGAGUGAGACCUAAACUAUUUCCUUUGCUUUAAAGACUUUAGUUUAUGUAUUCCUCAUCACUAUUCCAUUUUAUUCUUAACAGGACUGCUUUUGUUUUAUUUGGAAGAAACUACUGACAAAACUUCAACAACUUGGACCCUAAUCAGUGGUCUGAUUUCCAGGGUAGUACCUACUGCUACAGUUUGAUAGUUUUGCAAUUCCUGUCAUGUCUCACUGUUCUGAAGAGAGUCUUGCUAAUUUUUAUGUGCAAGAACAUUAAGAUGUUUCCCCAAUCUCAUUCACGGACAGGGCAGACUGAAUACCUUUUUAAUGGGAAAUGAAUAUUACCCUCAUUUUCAUCUCACAGCUAUUCCCUUUGACUUUGCUUGGCAGCUCCCCACCAAUCACAGGGAGCCAGUAUCAUUAGAAGCUAUCUCUACAGAGGGUUUGGCAGCUCACAUUGGUUCAGACCGGGCAAAGACCCCAGGUUGGCAUGAAAAUGUUCCUGAAGGAAUAUCCUAAAAGCUUGGCUGACUACAAAGAUGCCUGUCUGGAUCUUCUCAUUCAGCUGAAAGCUAGUUCCACAAAUGCAAACCGGUGUGUUCGAUUAUGUUUAUCCAGCUGCUGUAAGACAUUCCUUGGAAGUGGGUCUCAUUACCCUAAACAUAUUGAAAAACAAAAUAAAAAAGAGAGAGAUUUUUUUAACAUUGGAAAAGAAAAAAAAGUAGUGCUCAGCAAAGUUGAGGGUUGCACUGUGGAGGAAAAAAGAAUGGCUGCAGGGAUCUUGUAGAUACUAAUAUGAACACAGAGGCUAUUAAUCAGAACUUCAAAGCUGCACAGACAAGCAGAAUGUCAACGGCUUGUAAUUAGUAGUUCAUGGUUACGUCAGCAGCAGUAUCUAUUCAAGAAUAGCCGUGUGUGAUAGGCAACUGAAAACAUCGGCGCAACUGGAUCAGCACAGCUGGUAUAAGUUACGGUGAAUGGAGAUGACGCCAGCCUGCACCUGCUUGUGAUGGAAGCCAAAUUCGCUCUGCACACAGUGAUCAAGGAAUGUGCAAUGGAACAGGAGUGUUUCUGUGGUCUUGCUGCAAGCACUAAUGGGAUGACAGAAGUGGCUUUUGGGCAUUCUGAAGGCUGCCCUCCGUUCUUUGAGCAAUGAAGCUGAAGUUUAUCGAAGUCUUUCCAGAUGUCCAUGGAAACAUUAUCACAAGGCUUUUCCUGGUUAAAUGAUUUAAAUUUACAACAAGUAAUAAAACAAAACACAGGGAUUACAGCUAUUAGAAAAUAAUUUUCCUUUUUUUUUUCUUUUUUACCUUGGUGAAUGAUUUGCUGGGGACCCUUCCGCUAAAAUUCUAAACAGUUCAGAGAAGUUUAAUAACAUAAGACCAUUGUUCAUAUUGUGAUGAUAUAAGUUAACUUUGUUUAAAAAAACAAACAAAAAAAACAACAACUUUUUUUAACUGUCAUCAUUGCGUUUAGGUUCUGUGAACAAUGAGCCUGUUGAAUGCAGCUUUGUGCAGAGAAAAGUCAUUUUUAGUAGCCUUUGUAUAACCCACGUCGUAUGAAUUACCUGCAUAAUCAGUUUCGUGUUACACCCAUUGUAUAACAUGUAUACCUAUUAUGUAACCAACCUUUACCAGGGUGCAAGUUAUUAGGCCAGUUAUGUUAUUUUUGUAUUAUUAAAAGCAAAUAAACACCCACACACUGCUUAUGGGUUACCCAAUAUGUUGCAGAACAUUUAUUUACAAAAACAACUUGGACUGGGCAAUUUGAAAACUUCCCUGACUAGUCAGACCAUAUAGAUGUCAGUCUCUUUUGAGGGUGGAUUCUACAUUACAGACCUACCACGCCGGAACCUGUUUCAUGUAUUGAUGUCCACGACUUCUCCAGCAUCCACAGUAGCUUGCCUUUGCUUUGUAAUUUACAAAAUACUGCUAGACAACAAUAAUAGAUAAUCUGAUGUCAACCUGCAACAGCUAAACAAUAAACAGACCAAAAUAAAUUGCAGUUAUUACUAUUGAUUUUCUAACCAGGCAACAUAUUAACUACUGUUGCUAUUUCCUUUCUUUUUUACUUAUGUGCUAAACAUGCUCAGAUGUAUUUCCUAAAGAGGUGAAUGGUUGUACAGUGACAUCCUACUGUGUAAAAAUAUGUACCCUUUUGUAGUUUGACAGCCAAAAGCCUCUUGAAACCUUAAUAUUUCCGUUCACAUUAUUUUAAACUUACAGUAUUCAGUAAAGUACUCUUAAAUAACAAAGCCCUUAUUAUGUAUGUAUGUAUGAUUUUUUACUGCCACCCACUGUCCCAUAAACUAUUUGAACCACAACAGCUUUCCACUGUGUUUUGAAGGUUUGUCCAAUGUUGCUUUUUUGAAAUCUUAAUAAAAAAUGCUUGUAUGAUGCAA